AGCCCCUCACGUGGCGCUAUCUUCGUUAACUCCCCCAGGGCAGAAAUGCAGCAAGGGUAGCGGGGCUCUAGCGGGUGCGUGAGGGGUCUUU
rnacentral:SRP_RNA from 1 species